GCUGACACAUCCCGGCCAAUCUCCAGCAGACCCUCCCUCCCAGACCCUCCUACUUCCUGGACAGCAUCCAUGUUGAAGGCAGCUUCAACAUGGAUUCUGUCCAGGAGGUGGGAGGGUCUGGGAGGGAGGGUCUGCUGGAGAUUGGCCGGGAUGUGUCAG
rnacentral:miRNA from 1 species